rnacentral:rRNA from 1 species
UACGUAGGGGGCUAGCGUUGUCCGGAUUUAUUGGGCGUAAAGAGCUCGUAGGUGGUUCGGUAAGUCGGAUGUGAAAUCUCCAGGCUCAACCUGGAGGGGUCAUUCGAUACUGCCGUGACUAGAGUUCGGUAGAGGAGUGUGGAAUUCCUGGUGAAGCGGUGAAAUGCGCAGAGAUCAGGAGGAACACCCGUAGCGAAGGCGGCACUCUGGGCCGAUACUGACACUGAGGAGCGAAAGCGUGGGGAGCGAACAGG